CGCCUCUCAGGGUCGCACCUGGAGAGUUUCCAGUCCUCUACCAGUUUUGACUACGGAAGGGAGAGUCAAGCAGAGGCAUAUCCAUUCCAUUCCUAGCUUGGGCAGUGGCUAGAGCGUGGAGAGCAAUCUGCUACAAAU
rnacentral:snoRNA from 1 species